GACGAACGCUGGCGGCGUGCUUAACACAUGCAAGUCGAACGGAAAGGCCCUGCUUUUGUGGGGUGCUCGAGUGGCGAACGGGUGAGUAACACGUGAGUAACCUGCCCUUGACUUUGGGAUAACUUCAGGAAACUGGGGCUAAUACCGGAUAGGAGCUCCUGCUGCAUGGUGGGGGUUGGAAAGUUUCGGCGGUUGGGGAUGGACUCGCGGCUUAUCAGCUUGUUGGUGGGGUAGUGGCUUACCAAGGCUUUGUCGGGUAGCCGGCCUGAGAGGGUGACCGGCCACAUUGGGACUGAGAUACGGCCCAGACUCCUACGGGAGGCAGCAGUGGGGAAUAUUGCACAAUGGGCGGAAGCCUGAUGCAGCAACGCCGCGUGCGGGAUGACGGCCUUCGGGUUGUAAACCGCUUUCGCCUGUGACGAAGCGUGAGUGACGGUAAUGGGCAAAGAAGCACCGGCUAACUACGUG
rnacentral:rRNA from 1 species